rnacentral:lncRNA from 1 species
CUCUUCCGAUCUGUCGAUUGUUGUGAAGAGUACAUGUGCGUUUUUAGUUAACCAAGUUAUAAUAUCGGCCGAAAAAUAAUCCAUCGUUAGUAUUACUAAAACAAUUUUUUAUUUAAUAUCAUUACUUCCAACAAACAGUGAAUGUGUUCUAGAGUAUUCGUUUGUCAUUAUGUUAAAAAAUAAAAACUUGUGUAAUAAUUUAAACAGGUCAUAAUCUCAAAAUCUGCU